rnacentral:rRNA from 1 species
ACGAACGCUGGCGGCAUGCCUAAUACAUGCAAGUCGAACGAGACCUUCGGGUCCAGUGGCGCACGGGUGCGUAACGCGUGGGAAUCUGCCCCUGGGUUCGGAAUAACAGUUAGAAAUGACUGCUAAUACCGGAUGAUGACGCCAAAGAGAUUUGGAGUCCAAAGAUUUAUCGCCCAGGGAUGAGCCCGCGUAAGAUUAGCUAGUUGGUGGGGUAAAGGCCUACCAAGGCUACGAUCUUUAGCUGGUCUGAGAGGAUGAUCAGCCACACUGGGACUGAGACACGGCCCAGACUCCUACGGGAGGCAGCAGUAGGGAAUAUUGGACAAUGGGCGAAAGCCUGAUCCAGCAAUGCCGCGUGAGUGAUGAAGGCCUUAGGGUUGUAAAGCUCUUUUACCCGAGAUGAUAAUGACAGUAUCGGGAGAAUAAGCUCCGGCUAACUCCGU